GUUUCCAUAGUGUAGUGGUUAUCACGUUCGCCUCACACGCGAAAGGUCCUCAGUUUGAAACUGGGUGGAAACA
rnacentral:tRNA from 1 species